AUUGAACGCUGGCGGAAUGCUUUACACAUGCAAGUCGAACGGCAGCACGGGGGCAACCCUGGUGGCGAGUGGCGAACGGGUGAGUAAUACAUCGGAACGUGCCCAGUCGUGGGGGAUAACGUAGCGAAAGCUACGCUAAUACCGCAUACGAUCUACGGAUGAAAGCGGGGGAUCGCAAGACCUCGCGCGAUUGGAGCGGCCGAUGGCAGAUUAGGUAGUUGGUGGGGUAAAAGGCUCACCAAGCCUUCGAUCUGUAGCUGGUCUGAGAGGACGACCAGCCACACUGGGACUGAGACACGGCCCAGACUCCUACGGGAGGCAGCAGUGGGGAAUUUUGGACAAUGGGCGAAAGCCUGAUCCAGCCAUUCCGCGUGCAGGAUGAAGGCCCUCGGGUUGUAAACUGCUUUUGUACGGAACGAAACGGCCUUUUCUAAUACAGAGGGCUAAUGACGGUACCGUAAGAAUAAG
rnacentral:rRNA from 1 species